GUCCACGCCCUAAACGAUGUCAACUGGUUGUUGGGAAUUUAUUUCUCAGUAACGAAGCUAACGCGUGAAGUUGACCGCCUGGGGAGUACGGCCGCAAGGUUAAACUCAAAGGAAUUGACGGGACCCGCACAAGCGGUGGAUGAUGUUCUUUAAUUCGAUGCAACGCGAAAACCUUACCCACCUUUGACAUGUAUGGAAUCCUUUAGAGAUGAAGGAGUGCUCGAAAGAGAGCCAUAACACAGGUGCUGCAUGGCUGUCGU
rnacentral:rRNA from 1 species